rnacentral:rRNA from 1 species
CCGGAACUCGGCAAAUUGACACCGUAACUUCGGAAGAAGGUGUGCCUUUAGUAGGUGAACCAUUUACUUGGGGAGCCCAAUGAGGCCGCAGAGAAUCGGUGGCUGCAACUGUUUAUUAAAAACACAGCACUCUGCAAAGACGAAAGUCGACGUAUAGGGUGUGACUCCUGCCCGGUGCUGGAAGAUUAAAUGAUGGGGUGCAAGCUCUUGACUGAAGUCCCAGUAAACGGCGGCCGUAACUAUAACGGUCCUAAGGUAGCGAAAUUCCUUGUCGGGUAAGUUCCGACCUGCACGAAUGGAGUAAUGAUGGCCACACUGUCUCCUCCAGAGACUCAGCGAAGUUGAAAUGUUUGUGAUGAUGCAAUCUCCCCGCGGAAAGACGGAAAGACCCCAUGAACCUUUACUGUAGCUUUACAUUGGACUUUGAACAGAUCUGUGUAGGAUAGGUGGGAGGCUUUGAAACCAGGACGCUAGUUUUGGUGGAGCCAACGUUGAAAUACCACCCUGGUGUGUUUGAGGUUCUAACCUUGGCCCGUUAUCCGGGUCGGGGACAGUGUAUGGUGGGCAGUUUGACUGGGGCGGUCUCCUCCCAAAGUGUAACGGAGGAGUUCGAAGGUACGCUAAAUACGGUCGGAAAUCGUGUUGAUAGUGCAUUGGCAUAAGCGUGCUUGACUGCGAGACUGACAAGUCGAGCAGGUACGAAAGUAGGACAAAGUGAUCCGGUGGUUCUGUAUGGAAGGGCCAUCGCUCAACGGAUAAAAGGUACUCUGGGGAUAACAGGCUGAUACCGCCCAAGAGUUCAUAUCGACGGCGGUGUUUGGCACCUCGAUGUCGGCUCAUCUCAUCCUGGGGCUGUAGCCGGUCCCAAGGGUAUGGCUGUUCGCCAUUUAAAGAGGUACGUGAGCUGGGUUUAAAACGUCGUGAGACAGUUUGGUCCCUAUCUUCCGUGGGCGCUGCAAGAUUGAGAGAGCCUGCUCCUAGUACGAGAGGACCGGAGUGGACGCACCUCUGGUGUAUCGGUUGUCACGCCAGUGGCAUUGCCGAGUAGCUAAGUGCGGAAGAGAUAACCGCUGAAAGCAUCUAAGCGGGAAACUCGUCUCAAGAUGAGUCUUGCCGGGGCCUUGAGCCCCCUGAAGAGUCGUUCGAGACCAGGACGUUGAUAGGCUGGGUGUGGAAGCGCAGUAAUGCGUUAAGCUAACCAGUACUAAUUGCUCGUGAGGCUUGACCC